rnacentral:rRNA from 1 species
GGAAACCUUGUUACGACUUCUCCUUCCUCUAGAUGAUAAGGUUCGCGAGACUUUCCCACACAAAGCCGAAAAUCGACAAGGCGUAGGUCCGAAUAGCUCACCGGAUCAUCCAAUCGGUAGGAGCGAC